rnacentral:lncRNA from 1 species
UUUAUAUAGUUGCUUCCGAAGAAACACCAAACAUCUAUUAACUUAUAUGAAUUCUCAAUGUUUAUUGCUACGUGGCAAGUUCUUCUUCACCCUCACUAGCAUAUGACUCUUCUUCUUCCUCUCACUAUACUUUUAAUGUACAUUUUAACGGUUCCACUAACAAAACUUUUAAUUAAUAUAUUUAAAUGAUUCCACUAACAAAACUUUCAAUUAAUGUAUUUAAAUGGUCCCAUACCAUCUAUAAUUCUAUCGUUUCUAUCUACAAUUAUUCUUCAUGACCUUUUCCAUUCCCUCCACUAUACUUUCAAUUAAUGCAAAUGGUCCCACUACCAAACUUUCAAUUAGUAUGCUUAAAUGGUCUCACUACUACUUACAAUUCUAACCUCUCUAUCUCCAAUUAUUUAUUAUAGCCUUUUUCCUUUUCUCCACCAGACUUUUAAUUUUUUAUUUCUAAUUUAUUCAUCAAUUAUCUAUCUCUCAUUUUUUGCUAUACAUCAUCGCCUCCUUUCCCCGCUCUCUCUCUCUCUCUCACUAAUGCGCGCCCACUUAUCCUUUCCGCCAUGAUGUUUGGUGAAUAUAUUAAGUGAGAUACACAAAAGAAUGUUUAAUAUUUUCGUAUUAUUAAUUGCUAUUGCAAUUUCUACCCGCUGCAAAGCGCGGGCCCUUUCGCUAGUAGGAAUGAUGCGGCUUUAACUGAUCUAAAUAGAAAUAAUUUCGAUGAUGCUAAAAGGACAUAUUGUACGUUCGGUCCUCAAAUUAUGAGUCAGGCAAUGUUUAUUGGCUUAAAGUGGUCAGCAUUCUAUCCUGUGGCGGGAGACUGGAUUGAAUCGAAUGUUCAAAAUAACAAGAAGUCAAAUUGGGCUGAGCGAAUUGGCGGGAGGCUGACCCCUUUGAACCCGUGAGUGGUCUCUAUACACUUAAAGUGAAUUAGUAGUAUUUUUCUAAGUGCUCAACCUUUGGAAUUAAUAUUUAAUGCCAACGAUUCAAUAAUACUUUGUUUCUUAAACUUUAACUUGUUACAAUUUUUUGUUUGGACUUUCAAAAUUAUUACAAUCAAGUCAUAUAACCUAAAUUAGUUGAUUAAAUAUUGACAAAUUAUUAAUAUAGAAGUGAUGUGAAAAUAUAAUAAUUGAUAAUACGGCAAUAAUUAAGAUGCUGCAUCACAUUUACAUUAAUAUUUCGUCUCUAUUUAAUUAAUUAAAUUGAAUUGUGGAACUUAAUUGUAAUAAUUCUUAAAGUUUGAACCGGAAAUUAUCACAAAUUAAAAUUUGAGCACCAAAGUGU